ensembl:snRNA U6 U6 spliceosomal RNA
GUACUCACUUCGGCAGCACAUACACUUUAAAAAAUUAGAACAAUACAGAGAAGGUUAGCAAUGGCCCUUGCACAAGGAUGACAUGCAGAUUCAUGAAGUGUUCCAUAUUUUU